rnacentral:rRNA from 1 species
GACGAACGCUGUCGGCGUGCUUAACACAUGCAAGUCGAACGGAAAGGCCCUGCUUUUGUGGGGUGCUCGAGUGGCGAACGGGUGAGUAACACGUGAGUAACCUGCCCUUGACUUUGGGAUAACUUCAGGAAACUGGGGCUAAUACCGGAUAGGAGCUCCUGCUGCAUGGUGGGGGUUGGAAAGUUUCGGCGGUUGGGGAUGGACUCGCGGCUUAUCAGCUUGUUGGUGGGGUAGUGGCUUACCAAGGCUUUGACGGGUAGCCGGCCUGAGAGGGUGACCGGCCACAUUGGGACUGAGAUACGGCCCAGACUCCUACGGGAGGCAGCAGUGGGGAAUAUUGCACAAUGGGCGGAAGCCUGAUGCAGCAACGCCGCGUGCGGGAUGACGGCCUUCGGGUUGUAAACCGCUUUCGCCUGUGACGAAGCGUGAGUGACGGUAAUGGGUAAAGAAGCACCGGCUAACUACGUGCCAGCAGCCGCGGUGAUACGUAGGGUGCGAGCGUUGUCCGGAUUUAUUGGGCGUAAAGGGCUCGUAGGUGGUUGAUCGCGUCGGAAGUGUAAUCUUGGGGCUUAACCCUGAGCGUGCUUUCGAUACGGGUUGACUUGAGGAAGGUAGGGGAGAAUGGAAUUCCUGGUGGAGCGGUGGAAUGCGCAGAUAUCAGGAGGAACACCAGUGGCGAAGGCGGUUCUCUGGGCCUUUCCUGACGCUGAGGAGCGAAAGCGUGGGGAGCGAACAGGCUUAGAUACCCUGGUAGUCCACGCUGUAAACGGUGGGUACUAGGUGUGGGGUCCAUUCCACGGGUUCCGUGCCGUAGCUAACGCUUUAAGUACCCCGCCUGGGGAGUACGGCCGCAAGGCUAAAACUCAAAGGAAUUGACGGGGCCCCGCACAAGCGGCGGAGCAUGCGGAUUAAUUCGAUGCAACGCGUAGAACCUUACCUGGGUUUGACAUGGAUCGGGAGUGCUCAGAGAUGGGUGUGCCUCUUUUGGGGUCGGUUCACAGGUGGUGCAUGGCUGUCGUCAGCUCGUGUCGUGAGAUGUUGGGUUAAGUCCCGCAACGAGCGCAACCCUUGUUCACUGUUGCCAGCACGUUAUGGUGGGGACUCAGUGGAGACCGCCGGGGUCAACUCGGAGGAAGGUGGGGAUGACGUCAAGUCAUCAUGCCCCUUAUGUCCAGGGCUUCACGCAUGCUACAAUGGCUGGUACAGAGAGUGGCGAGCCUGUGAGGGUGAGCGAAUCUCGGAAAGCCGGUCUCAGUUCGGAUUGGGGUCUGCAACUCGACCUCAUGAAGUCGGAGUCGCUAGUAAUCGCAGAUCAGCAACGCUGCGGUGAAUACGUUCCCGGG